GACAAUUGCAAUAAUUUGCUGGAUGAAAGAUAAAGUUAUCAGAAACAUGUACCUCAAGUUUUCUUUCAUUUAUUGUUGUUUUUGUUUUG